AUAUAGAAACGAAAAGGAAGAAGGAAGAGAAGAAAAAGAGUCAAAGCAAGUCGAAGAGAUGUCUGAUUAACAUCUUCGAUUGUUUUUAUCUUUUGUUCUCUUCCUCUUUCCUAAUA
rnacentral:ribozyme from 1 species